rnacentral:rRNA from 1 species
UACGUAGGGUGCGAGCGUUGUCCGGAAUUACUGGGCGUAAAGAGCUCGUAGGUGGUUUGUCGCGUUGGUCGUGAAAUCUCACGGCUUAACUGUGAGCGUGCGGGCGAUACGGGCAGACUAGAGUACUGCAGGGGAGACUGGAAUUCCUGGUGUAGCGGUGGAAUGCGCAGAUAUCAGGAGGAACACCGGUGGCGAAAGCGGGUCUCUGGGCAGUAACUGACGCUGAGGAGCGAAAGCGUGGGGAGCGAACAGG